UUGUGGCCACAUCACGUUGAAACACUGGUUCCCAUAUGAUCCCCACAGUUAAACAACGUUGAGCCUGGUCAGUACCUAGAUAGAUGACCACUUGGGAAUAGCACAUGCUGUAAG